rnacentral:rRNA from 1 species
AGUCACUGACAUUAGAUACCCCUGUAGUCCAGGGUGUAAACGCUGCAGACUUGGUGUUGGAGGCCCUUUGGGGGCAUUCAGUGCCGGAGAGAAGUUGUUAAGUCUGCUACUUGGGGAGUACGUCCGCAAGGAUGAAACUUAAAGGAAUUGGCGGGGGAGCACCGCAACGGGAGGAGCGUGCGGUUCAAUUGGAUUCAACGCCGGACAACUCACCAGGAGCGACGGUUACAUGAAGGCCAGGCUGAUGACCUUGCCUGAUUUUCCG